UACGGAGGGGGCAAGCGUUAUUCGGAAUCAUUGGGCGUAAAGGGCGCGUAGGCGGCUUGGCAAGUCAAAGGUGAAAUCCCUCGGCCCAACCGAGGAACUGCCUUUGAUACUGCCUAGCUCGAGGCCGGGAGAGGGUAGCGGAAUUCCCAGUGUAGCGGUGAAAUGCGUAGAUAUUGGGAGGAACACCAGUGGCGAAGGCGGCUACCUGGACCGGCAUUGACGCUGAGGAGCGAAAAGCUAGGGGAGCAAACGGGG
rnacentral:rRNA from 1 species